UAUCUAUUUUGUUGUUUUCAAUUAUUAUUUAUUUGGGUUGUUCGAUCACUUUUUUAUGGGCUUUGUUGUUUGGGCUUUGGGCUAGGGAACAUAUUGCUCAGAUGGGCUUCUUAUGUGUUUAGCUGGGCUUAGAAGAGAGUUUUUUUUUAUUUUGCAACUUCAGUGCUUUGCCAUUCAAGGACCGUUUCCCAUGGUAUCUUCUCCGACAGCCCUCCACCAGUUUUUACUGGUCAGUCAUUUGAGAAAGACAUGGAAGAGGCGAUAAAGCAAAUUUUGGAUUCUCCUAUGAAUACCAGUUAGUGGAUGUUGGAUGUGCCCGAUUACCAUCGAAGAGGCGAGACUGCUCCUUCUCGUUGGUUCUAUCAAGAUGAGGGAGAGGCUGAAUAUGUUGUUAAUGUUUAUAUUUAGAUGCGUUUGCCAGGAUAUCCUGCAAGCAAGAUCUCCAUCGUUGACAACUAACAAUGGCCAAAAACUUCGUGAUGUUAUCAACAGAAGAUGUGUUCCUCAUGACUUCAUUGGCCCACCCAGCAAGGUCUCUGUUUGGACAGUGUUAUGAACUGCGGCCUACAUUUCAACUUCUGCUUCAGAGACCCGAUCACCUUGCACUGAAUUUUGGUGGAGUUUCGACAUAUACAGAGCGGCAAGUUGAAGACGCUGGACAUCCUUAUUUUGUUACAGUGUUGAGGAGGUGGGACACAUUGUAAUGGAUAAAAUGAAUCGACUGUAUCAGGUCGAGGAACAGUCUAAAGAGGCUUGCUGACUUAUAACCUAACUUAAGCUAUGGUCACAUGCACAAAGAAACUAGCAUCUGCCAAUAGCAUGGUAAAUUUUGAAGGGAAACCUGCCUUAAGUUAGGUGAAAGCUGCUCCCUCUGAGCAUUGCAGCGGGACAAAUAAAGCAUUUGAGGUUGAUGAAGGUUAUAUAUAUCGCUGUGAGUCAACUCUCACCUAAUAAAUUGUAGUUAGUGUGAAGGAUCAAACUUUUGAUAACACCUUUGGCUGUCUUGUUUUAUAUCCAUCCACUAUCUUCUCCUAAGAAAAUCUUCUGCAUUUUUUUUUCUUGCCUGUUAUUAUUAAAAUGGUAUCUGGCUUGUGCUUGGGUGAUGGUGUUGUACAUUCAAGGUGCACCAUGUAUAGCUCAAAGCAGCGAAAGGCUUGUGAUUUUGCUAAGGUAUGGUGAAGUAGCUGAAAUGGAAAACCUUGGGCUCAGUCAUAUGCCAAGUUACUUGAUAUUCAUUUUGCACGCUGGAGAAACCCUUUUCCAGUCUGUGACGUGGUGCACACGGGCACUGUUGUUUUACAAUUAAUCCACUUGCAACUUUUUUUAUGGUCUCGUAAGAAGUUCCAGCAGCUAAAGUCACGGUUUCUCACGUUUGAUGAGCUAUCAGCUUGAGCAGUACAUGGCUUAUUCAUCCGAUGGACCUGCUCCUGCUCCUGCAAAUGGGGCAGUUGAUGAUACACCAGUCUGAUGAACCUAAAGAGAUGGACGGGAUUGCAAACCGUGAAGAUGGGGAUUUGCCACCUGAGAAGCAAUUAAAUGAGGGAAAGGAGAGUGAGGCUUCCCCAAAUGAUGAAAACCAGAAAGAGAUAUGAAUGGGGAAUCAUGCACGGGGUAGCAGAGUAGCCUCAUUGAUACGGUGAAUUUACUCUCCCCCCGUAAUCACAGCCAUAAGCAUAACUUGCCGAUGGAGUGAUUGGCGUGAUGCCAAUCGGUAACUGUUCAGCUCAGUUGAAAGAUGAUAUAGCUGGAAAAACAGGGCUUAGGUUUCAAGCAUAUCAUCAUCACAUUAUACCAGGUGCUGGAAAUUGAUAAUCCCUGUCUCUCCCUUUUGAGGAUUAUUACUGUUAAUUCAUGAGUAUCAUCACAUUACCAUGUUGAUUUUGGUAGAUGAACCUUUCCUUGCAAAAAUAGAACUAUCAGAUUUUUGGCUCC